UUUGCCCGGAUCUCCUCAGGAAGACCAGCUC
rnacentral:piRNA from 1 species